UCUGGUUUGCUUUUUAAGGUUGACUGAGCCAUUUGAAUUAGUUGGGAUGGGCUUGGUCGUAAGCUAAAAUGCACCAAGAAUGGGUGUCAAUACAUUUGUGUGAUGGUGGACUAUUUCACAAAGUGGCUUGAGGUAUACUCACUGAAAACCAAAGGAGCAGAAGAAAUCUCUGUGUAUAAUGGAUUUCUUCUAUAAAUAUGGCGCCCCAAAGCGUAUCCUCACCGACCGCGGAAAGGAAUUUGUGAACAAAAUGAAUACCGAGUGCCAGAAACUUGGCAUUGACCGAAGCCUCUGUGCUUCAUACCACCGGCAAACCAAUGGCUUGGUUGAAAAACUCAAUGGCAC
ensembl:lncRNA